rnacentral:rRNA from 1 species
GUCGAGCGCACCUUCGGGUGAGCGGCGGACGGUUUAGUAACGCGUGGGAACGUACCCUUUUCUACGGAAUAGCCUUUGGAAACGAAGAGUAAUACCGUAUACGCCCUUUGGGGGAAAGAUUUAUCGGAGAAGGAUCGGCCCGCGUUAGAUUAGAUAGUUGGUGGGGUAAUGGCCUACCAAGUCUACGAUCUAUAGCUGGUUUUAGAGGAUGAUCAGCAACACUGGGACUGAGACACGGCCCAGACUCCUACGGGAGGCAGCAGUGGGGAAUCUUAGACAAUGGGCGCAAGCCUGAUCUAGCCAUGCCGCGUGAGUGAUGAAGGCCUUAGGGUCGUAAAGCUCUUUCGCCUGUGAUGAUAAUGACAGUAGCAGGUAAAGAAACCCCGGCUAACUCCGUGCCAGCAGCCGCGGUAAUACGGAGGGGGUUAGCGUUGUUCGGAAUUACUGGGCGUAAAGCGCACGUAGGCGGAUUGGAAAGUUGGGGGUGAAAUCCCGGGGCUCAACCCCGGAACUGCCUCCAAAACUAUCAGUCUAGAGUUCGAGAGAGGUGAGUGGAAUUCCAAGUGUAGAGGUGAAAUUCGUAGAUAUUUGGAGGAACACCAGUGGCGAAGGCGGCUCACUGGCUCGAUACUGACGCUGAGGUGCGAAAGUGUGGGGAGCAAACAGGAUUAGAUACCCUGGUAGUCCACACCGUAAACGAUGAAUGCCAGUCGUCGGGCAGUAUACUGUUCGGUGACACACCUAACGGAUUAAGCAUUCCGCCUGGGGAGUACAGUCGCAAGAUUAAAACUCAAAGGAAUUGACGGGGGCCCCGCACAAGCGGUGGAGCAUGUG